rnacentral:rRNA from 1 species
CUCCUGGAAACGGGUGGUAAUGCCGGAUGCUCCGCCCCCUCGCAUGGGGGGUCGGGAAGGCUUUUGCGGAAUGGGAUGGGGUCGCGUCCUAUCAGCUUGUUGGCGGGGCGACGGCCCACCAAGGCUUCGACGGGUAGCCGGCCUGAGAGGGCGACCGGCCACAUUGGGACUGAGAUACGGCCCAGACUCCUACGGGAGGCAGCAGUGGGGAAUAUUGCACAAUGGGGGGAACCCUGAUGCAGCGACGCCGCGUGCGGGAUGGAGGCCUUCGGGUCGUGAACCGCUUUUGAUUGGGAGCAAGCGUGAGUGAGUGUACCUCUCGAAUAAGCACCGGCUAACUACGUGCCAGCAGCCGCGGUAAUACGUAGGGUGCAAGCGUUGUCCGGAAUCAUUGGGCGUAAAGGGCUCGUAGGCGGUUCGUCGCGUCCGGUGUGAAAGCCCAUCGCUUAACGGUGGGUCUGCGCCGGGUACGGGCGGGCUUGAGUGCGGCAGGGGAGGCUGGAAUUCCCGGUGUAACGGUGGAAUGUGUAGAUAUCGGGAAGAACACC